rnacentral:lncRNA from 1 species
CCGGCCGAAAUGCUUCUUAUUUGUUAGUGUGGCAGCGAUGAUAACAGCACCCCCAGACACCCUGGUAAAUCGCUUCUCUCGAGCGCUUUGUUGUGGUCUUCGUUGAGUUCUGAGUGAGGUGUGAAAUCUGAGAAGACAGAAUUUGUUUUCAUUCUUCACUUUCUUUAGCUUGCCCAUGGUGAUGUGAAGAUGAGAAGAAAUAGCAAGGCCCAACCAGUUCUUCAUCUGGAGACAGUUCAACGUUCUGCAAACCAGAUCUUCAGGAAUUUUACUGGGAUAAUUAUCCAAAUAAAUUGCAAGCAUUCUAUCCAAAUGGAGCUCUUUCUGAGAUGAAGAGAAUUCUCAAUGUCAAGAUUUGAACAAGAAGAGAAUGGAAUACACAAUAUGGACAUCCAUAAAAAUUCAUCAGAGAGCAUUUUACUACUGAGCUGCAAAGGUAGGAAAAAUAAAUUUUUUUUGGUUAGAAAAUAUACUUCUUUCAUCUGCGUUUCAAUAAUUUAUUCCCCUUGUUAGAUAUACAUGGAAUUGAUAUUGCUUAUUCUGACUAAGUGAAAAGUGUUAUUUCUACUUACUGCUCAAUUAGAAACAUGUAGUGUUUAAUUGUCAGUUUGAAUUUUUCUUUCAUACUAUUACAGUUUAUAUUUUACUAUAGGCAGAAUUUCCUCUUUAUCCUAAAUUUUGAUAUUCUCCAUAAUUUCAUCGUGCCUUGACAUUGCUGUAUAUAAUUUCUAUACAUCAGGAAGGCAAUUCUGUGUGCAUGUGUGUGUGUAUAUAUAUAGUUAGAAGUUAGAAACUGAAACUCUUUUUUGUCUACCAUCAUUUCAUAUUUUUCUUGCUAUUUCAAACCUAUAAUUUUUAAAGAAACGACUAACGUAAUCAUUCAUAGAAUAUGCUGUCAGUAACUUAACAAUAUAAAUGUUAACAUGGAGGCAUUUAGUUCAGCAUUUGCUUUACUUAAUAGAGUGCAGAAAAUGUGGCCCUUUUCUCAGUUAGGGUGUAUGUGAAGAUAAAUUUAGAAUUUCUAGACUAGUAAAUACUUCUCUGAUAAUAACUUAAUUAUAGCUAUUUCAAACCAAAUUGUUUAAUUGUGGUGAAUCAUAUGUAAAUUGUUCAGAUGUAGGUCAACACCCACGCCCACAUUCUAGCACCUCUUUCCUAAUUCAAGACAACUUUGCAGUGCCUAAAAGAGCUGAACAGUGCAGAUUAGAGACAUAA